rnacentral:rRNA from 1 species
GAUGAACGCUGGCGGCGUGCCUAAUACAUGCAAGUAGAACGCUGAAGGAGGAGCUUGCUCUUCUGGAUGAGUUGCGAACGGGUGAGUAACGCGUAGGUAACCUGCCUGGUAGCGGGGGAUAACUAUUGGAAACGAUAGCUAAUACCGCAUGACAACAGUUAUUGCAUGAUAACUGUUUAAAAGGGGCAACUGCUCCACUACCAGAUGGACCUGCGUUGUAUUAGCUAGUUGGUGAGGUAACGGCUCACCAAGGCGACGAUCCAUAGCCGACCUGAGAGGGUGAUCGGCCACACUGGGACUUAGACACGGCCCAGACCCCUACGGGAGGCAGCAGGAGGGAAUCUGGGGCAAUGGACGGAAGGCUGACCGAGCAACGCCGCGUGAGGGAAGAAGGUUGUCGGAUCGGAAAGCUCUGUUGUAAGAGAAGAACGAGUGUGAGAGUGGAAAGUGCACACUGUGACGGUAGCUUACCAGAAAGGGACGGCUAACUACGUG